rnacentral:rRNA from 1 species
UACGAAGGGGGCUAGCGUUGCUCGGAAUUACUGGGCGUAAAGGGCGCGUAGGCGGCGCAUUUAGUCAGGCGUGAAAGCCCUGGGCUCAACCUGGGGACUGCGCUUGAUACGGGUGUGCUAGAGGACGGAAGAGGGUCGCGGAAUUCCCAGUGUAGAGGUGAAAUUCGUAGAUAUUCGCAAGAACACCAGUGGCGAAGGCGGCUUACUGGUCCGGUUCUGACGCUGAGCGCGAAAGCGUGGGGAGCAAACAGG